GAGCGUUGUCCGGAAUUACUGGGCGUAAAGAGCUCGUAGGUGGUUUGUCGCGUUGUCCGUGAAAACUCACAACUCAAUUGUGGGCGUGCGGGCGAUACGGGCAGACUGGAGUACUGCAGGGGAGACUGGAAUUCCUGGUGUAGCGGUGGAAUGCGCAGAUAUCAGGAGGAACACCGGUGGCGAAGGCGGGUCUCUGGGCAGUAACUGACGCUGAGGAGCGAAAGCGUGGGGAGCGAACAGG
rnacentral:rRNA from 1 species